rnacentral:rRNA from 1 species
CGANAACGGGAUUAGCUUGCUAAUCUGUCAGCUAAGUGGCGCACGGNUGAGUAAUAUAUAGGUAACGUGCCUUCAAGAGGGGGAUAACAGAUGGAAACGUCUGCUAAAACCCCAUAUGCCUUUAAUACGAAAGUAUGCAAGGGAAAUAUUUAUAGCUUGAAGAUCGGCCUGUACAGUAUCAGAUAGUUGGUGAGGUAAUAGCUCACCAAGUCAAUGACGCUUAACUGGUUUGAGAGGAUGAUCAGUCACACUGGAACUGAGACACGGUCCAGACUCCUACGGGAGGCAGCAGUGGGGAAUAUUGCACAAUGGGGGAAACCCUGAUGCAGCAACGCCGCGUGGAGGAUGACACAUUUCGGUGCGUAAACUCCUUUUAUAUAAGAAGAUAAUGACGGUAUUAUAUGAAUAAGCACCGGCUAACUCCGUGCCAGCAGCCGCGGUAAUACGGAGGGUGCAAGCGUUACUCGGGAAUCACUGGGCGUAAAGAGCGUGUAGGCGGAUAGAUAAGUCAGAAGUGAAAUCCAAUAGCUUAACUAUUGAACUGCUUUUGAAACUGUCUAUCUAGAGUAUGGGUAGAGGUAGAUGGNAAUUUCUGGUGUAGGGGCUAAAAUCCGUAUAGAUCAGNAAGGAAUACCGAUUGCGAAGGCGAUCUACUGGAACAUAACUGACGCUGAGACGCCGAAAGCGUGNGGAGCAAACCAGGAUUAGAUACCCUGGNUAGUCCACGCCCUAAACGAUGUACACUANUUGUUGGCCAUGCUCGACNUGNCNGUAAUGCCAUUUANCANAUUAAGUGGUAC